rnacentral:rRNA from 1 species
UGGGGAAUAUUGGACAAUGGGCGAAAGCCUGAUCCAGCCAUGCCGCGUGUGUGAAGAAGGCCUUUUGGUUGUAAAGCACUUUAAGUGGGGAGGAAAAGCUUAUGGUUAAUACCCAUAAGCCCUGACGUUACCCACAGAAUAAGCACCGGCUAACUCUGUGCCAGCAGCCGCGGUAAUACAGAGGGUGCAAGCGUUAAUCGGAAUUACUGGGCGUAAAGCGCGCGUAGGUGGUUAUUUAAGUCAGAUGUGAAAGCCCCGGGCUUAACCUGGGAACUGCAUCUGAUACUGGAUAACUAGAGUAGGUGAGAGGGGAGUAGAAUUCCAGGUGUAGCGGUGAAAUGCGUAGAGAUCUGGAGGAAUACCGAUGGCGAAGGCAGCUCCCUGGCAUCAUACUGACACUGAGGUGCGAAAGCGUGGGUAGCAAACAGGAUUAGAUACCCUGGUAGUCCACGCCGUAAACGAUGUCUACCAGUCGUUGGGUCUUUUAAAGACUUAGUGACGCAGUUAACGCAAUAAGUAGACCGCCUGGGGAGUACGGCCGCAAGGCUA